GGCUCGGUGGUGGAUGGUCCAUACCUGUGUCCUGUGCAAAACCCAUGUUGUAUCUAAGCAGGAGAAGCCUGUUCAAAUCAGGUCUGAGCCA